UACGGGGGGAGCAAACGUUGUUCGGAAUCACUGGGCGUAAAGGGCGUGUAGGCGGUUCGGUAAGUGGAAUGUGAAAUCCCCCGGCUUACCCGGGGAACUGCAUCCCAUACUGCUGGACUUGAGUGCGGGAGAGGAUGGAGGAAUUCCUGGUGUAGCGGUGAAAUGCGUAGAUAUUGGGAGGAACACCAGUGGCGAAGGCGGCUCACUGGACCGGUACUGACGCUCAGGCACGAAAGCAUGGGGAGCAAAAGGG
rnacentral:rRNA from 1 species